GCUCGCUUCAGCAGCACAUAUUAAACGUGGAGUGAUAUAGAGAGAAGGUUAGCAUGGUCCCUGCACAAGGAUGACACACAAAUUUGUAAAGCAUUCCACAUUUUU
ensembl:snRNA U6 U6 spliceosomal RNA